CAACAGAAAGAGAAAAAUUAAUUUGUUAUAGGUUUAAGUUAAAAGUUUUAAGGUUUACAUUUUAUACACAACACUUUACUAAAACGCAUUUGAUUCUAAGAAGUUGACUCCAAAGGAUUAAUCCUUUACCGACACACCAGGGAUAAUACUCUGGAGUUGAGUUCCAGCACUUCCACUGUGAAACGAAUUGGAGGCUGGCAAUACUUUUAUUUUUUAAACGAGUUGAAAAGUGGAUAUACUGGAUAUACCUCAUACACCUAUCUAAAGGCAUAAUUGAAACGUACGCACAGCAUACACUUCAUAUAAUUACUUGGUAUUGGUUCUAUAGAUAACGGACCAUACUAUAUACACCUUUAUACCUACUCAUCAUAUAAGAAAACAUGGGAUUUGACACCAAAAAACAUAUAAUGCAGCAACAAACGUUCAUACAUACAGACAUUUACUGAGUUUACUGAGAAUACAUAUCUAUAUAUUAGCACCAACACACAACAUACAUACAUACACAUAUAAGUAAAGGACCAAAACUAUUACUUUCUAAACAUAAAUCGUUGUGAGAUAACGUCGAGAGAUAUGACACUAAAUGCAGACAUUAAGAGCAAAUUCGGAAGUUCGAACAAAAUCUUAAUCUUUGCCAACACGUGACAAAUAAAAAUACACAUACAAACAUAAUUCAUCUACAUAUCUAUAUAUCAGCACUAACACACAGAAAUACAUACACACACACAUAUAUAUAUAUAUAUAUAUACUGUCACUAAGUAGUACUGUCACUAAAGAAGAGGCGUACAAUACGAAUUGAAGGCAAAAUUCAGAUACGCCUACAGAAUGACUCUAUUUCUUUUGCACAUGGAAUGGAGAGUACUACUAAGAAGAGAGGUACUUAAAUGAUAACUGGAGCUUAAACAUAACGAAUUGAAGACAGUGGAUAUAAAACCAUUUAUAAUACAUAUUCAAAAAUAAUGCGAAAUUCUAAAAUGACUGUGAAUCGAAACUGGUUGCUGAAAGUUUAUGUUCCUUUACGUUGACUCGACAAACACUUACAGACCUUACACUAGGAAAGGAAAUUACAAUUACAGAAAAACCUCAGAACAAACUUCUAUGAAAUUAUAAAAACUAACGGAAUGGCAAGAAAUUCUGCCUUAUUAUUAUUUAACAAUUUACAAAAUGUUUUCGUUGGUUAAUACAGUGGCCGCAACAAACGAACACACAUGGUGAUGCAUGAUCUUCAACUGGGGACUAAUCAAAUGGAUGGACUAUGAAUGCAUUAUUUAUCCAUUUAUGUGGAUUAGUUUUUUUUUAAUUUUUCAAAUGUGAAUAUUUGAAAUUGAGAAAUGCUAGAAGUAUAAUUUUAUGGAGAAUUGUUCACUUCACUCAAAAAUUAGUGAAUAUCGAUUGCAAUAUAAAACUAAAUUCGUCGUAUAUAGGAUAACCGAUGCAAUGGCGCAGCAGCAACAAACGUGCGCACAGACUCUAGAAAUGCAGAAGUCAAAUUAUAAGUGAAUUCAAGUGAAAUUAAUAGUUCAGUUCCUAGCAAAAGGACGCUAAUUCCGACUUAAAAUUUUGGAAGAACAUAACAAGUGUAAUGUGAAAGAGAAGAAGAGAACUAAAGAUCUAACAACUAGAAUUUUCAACAGCAGUUCGGAUAAUUCAAAUUUUUAGUAAAUGGCGCACUACAAGUAUAUGGGAAACGCAAAAUCCGAAAAGAAUUCAAAAGCGGAAUAACAAUGAAUGGUUUGUUCAGAAAUCGGGGGAAAAACAAACAUUUCAAUUGAAUGUUUUUUUGAUAAACUUUUAAAAAUCGUUGUCGUGGCCACGCAUUUAUCAAAAUCGAAAAAAUUAACGACUUAUCAUUGAGGCUGAAAGGUGCAAUGAUGUGUAUGAGAAGGUGAGAACUAAAUAUUAUCUUCAGCUGAUACAUCGAGCUAUAUCAGAGUAAAGGGAUAGUCGAUUAAUAAAUCGCUUGACGGAAUUUCUGAACGAGAUACGCUGCUACAAUAUUCCAAGUUCGAUUUGGCAUUUGACAAAAUUUUAGUGUAUUAAAAAAUUGUUUGUGUAUAUUUUAGCUUUUAAUACCAAAAGCAUAGCUUAAUAAUAAAUAUAUUUUGAGAGAAAAA